AGUGAACGCUGGCGGUAGGCCUAACACAUGCAAGUCGAACGGCAGCACAGUAAGAGCUUGCUCUUACGGGUGGCGAGUGGCGGACGGGUGAGGAAUACAUCGGCAUCUACUUUUUCGUGGGGGAUAACGUAGGGAAACUUACGCUAAUACCGCAUACGACCUACGGGUGAAAGCAGGGGAUCUUCGGACCUUGCGCGAUUGAAUGAGCCGAUUUCGGAUUAGCUAGUUGGCGGGGUAAAGGCCCACCAAGGCGACGAUCCGUAGCUGGUCUGAGAGGAUGAGCGGCCACACCGGAAAUGAGACACGGUCCCGACUCCUCAGGGAGGGAGCAGGAGGGAAUAUUUGGCAAUGGGGGAAAACCUGACGGCGCACCGACGCGGGAGGGAUGAAGGGCUUUGGGGCGUAAAAAUCCGUUUUUUGGGAAAAAAAAAGGUGUAAGUAAAUACCCCCGUGUUGACGGGACCCAAAAAGAAAAACCCCGCUAAAUCCGUG
rnacentral:rRNA from 1 species